AAUAGAUACCCUGGUAGUCCACGCCGUAAACGUUGGGCGCUAGGUGUGGGGGUCCUUCCACGAUCUCCGUGCCGCAGCUAACGCAUUAAGCGCCCCGCCUGGGGAGUACGGCCGCAAGGCUAAAACUCAAAGGAAUUGACGGGGGCCCGCACAAGCGGCGGAGCAUGCGGAUUAAUUCGAUGCAACGCGAAGAACCUUACCAAGGCUUGACAUGCACGGGUAAGUUCCAGAGAUGGUUCCCCCUUUUUGGUCCGUGCACAGGUGGUGCAUGGUUGUCGUCAGCUCGUGUCGUGAGAUGUUGGGUUAAGUCCCGCAACGAGCGCAACCCUUGUCUCAUGUUGCCAGCAAUUCGGUUGGGGACUCAUGAGAGACUGCCGGGGUCAACUCGGAGGAAGGUGGGGAUGACGUCAAAUCAUCAUGCCCCUUAUGUCUUGGGCUUCACGCAUGCUACAAUGGCCGGUACAAGGGCUGCGAAACCGUGAGGUGGAGCGAAUCCCAAAAGCCGGUCUCAGUUCGGAUUGGGGUCUGCAACUCGA
rnacentral:rRNA from 1 species